rnacentral:lncRNA from 1 species
GACUGGAUAUAGUGGUCCUUGUCAUGUACGCAACUACGCAAGCAUAGUUUGUUUAUGUUAUUGUAAAUUUGGUUUUGAAAUUUUGUAUGCAGGUCUUUGAUGGUGUUAAUUUGGGUUUGUAAGAUUCUUGAUCUAGCUGUAAAAUGAAUGCCAAAAUCAGCUUUGAAGGUUGUGAGUUGAGGUUUUGACCUUAUUCGAAGUGGUGUGUCUUGUAAGGUUGAAAAGAGAUUCAUGGAUCAAAAGUAAUCAAUGGUCCCGAGUUGAAAUUGAUAGGUCAAAACCAUCGCCCUGCAACCUUUGUCCAAUGAAUUCAUGAAUUCAGGCAUCUAUAUCGCACAACUAAAUACGAAUCUUGACUAUGGUAUGAUAAGAAGAAUACAGACCUUUAUGCGUCUAACGUUUGAAGCUUUUCUUUAGAGUUGAUAUCAGUCUGACAAGCGGACAAAUAUCCCACUUUCGGAUAUUUAUUACGAUUGUCGUGCAUGUUAACUACUUGUGGGUUAUUUACUUAUUUGUAAAAUUGGAUGCUAGAUUAUGU